GAAAAUCUCUGUCUACCUCGGGGAAAAAAAUGUGACCCUCAAACUGAAUCAUAAUGCUCAAGUAACUCCUAUACUUUAGUAAUUAUUUGAAAAGGUGUGGAUGGAUGGGAUUCAGACUUCAAACAACUUAUCAUAGGUUCAAAUAUAUAACUUUAUGGUUUAACCAAAAUCCAAACUUAUCAUUAAAGAAUCUUCCAUAUAAGGCAGGACCCCCACACUCUUCUUCCACUCAUAAUGUACUGCAGCGACUCAUAAUCAAACUAAAAAUUAAAAAUCUCGUUGAAUACGUACUUACGAAAUGUCUAGUUAAUUAAACCGCUACCAUGCACGAUUAUAAGAGAAAUUACUGAUUUAAUACACAAAACCCAGAUUGUAGCUUCAUCCUAAAUUCAAGGGGGGUAUUCCCGCCAUUUGACAUGUAGUGCCACAUCUUCAAAAUUAGUAAAUUACUACGAUGCCCUCUUCUUUCUAACAGUCUCCCCAUGCAGCGUGAGGCGGCGGAUGAUGACCAUCCCCAAAACCGAAACCGUGGGGUUUCAUCAGCAGUUCCACGUCACUCCCUCCAUAUCGCUGCAAUCCUACACCCCCGCCGUAACCUAGCAUUCCCCUCCCGCUCCCCAUUCCCAUUUCCGAGCCGCCGCCGCCGCCGCCGUCGUGGCUCUCUCGUCCGAGG
rnacentral:lncRNA from 1 species